rnacentral:rRNA from 1 species
AACCAUGCACCGAAGCUGCGGCAGCGACGUUUAUGCGUUGUUGGGUAGGGGAGCGUUCUGUAAGCCUGCGAAGGUGGCCUGUGAGGGUUGCUGGAGGUAUCAGAAGUGCGAAUGCUGACAUAAGUAACGAUAAAGCGGGUGAAAAGCCCGCUCGCCGGAAGACCAAGGGUUCCUGUCCAACGUUAAUCGGGGCAGGGUGAGUCGACCCCUAAGGCGAGGCCGAAAGGCGUAGUCGAUGGGAAACGGGUUAAUAUUCCCGUACUUGGUGUUACUGCGAAGGGGGGACGGAGAAGGCUAUGUUGGCCGGGCGACGGUUGUCCCGGUUUAAGCGUGUAGGUGUGUGUUCCAGGUAAAUCCGGUUCACUUUAACACUGAGGCGUGAUGACGAGGCACUACGGUGCUGAAGCAACAAAUGCCCUGCUUCCAGGAAAAGCCUCUAAGCAUCAGGUAACACGAAAUCGUACCCCAAACCGACACAGGUGGUCAGGUAGAGAAUACCAAGGCGCUUGAGAGAACUCGGGUGAAGGAACUAGGCAAAAUGGUGCCGUAACUUCGGGAGAAGGCACGCUGACACGUAGGUGAAGUGAUUUACUCAUGGAGCUGAAGUCAGUCGAAGAUACCAGCUGGCUGCAACUGUUUAUUAAAAACACAGCACUGUGCAAACACGAAAGUGGACGUAUACGGUGUGACGCCUGCCCGGUGCCGGAAGGUUAAUUGAUGGGGUCAGCGCAAGCGAAGCUCCUGAUCGAAGCCCCGGUAAACGGCGGCCGUAACUAUAACGGUCCUAAGGUAGCGAAAUUCCUUGUCGGGUAAGUUCCGACCUGCACGAAUGGCGUAAUGAUGGCCAGGCUGUCUCCACCCGAGACUCAGUGAAAUUGAACUCGCUGUGAAGAUGCAGUGUACCCGCGGCAAGACGGAAAGACCCCGUGAACCUUUACUAUAGCUUGACACUGAACAUUGAGCCUUGAUGUGUAGGAUAGGUGGGAGGCUUUGAAGUGUGGACGCCAGUCUGCAUGGAGCCGACCUUGAAAUACCACCCUUUAAUGUUUGAUGUUCUAACGUGGACCCGUUACCCGGGUUGCGGACAGUGUCUGGUGGGUAGUUUGACUGGGGCGGUCUCCUCCUAAAGAGUAACGGAGGAGCACGAAGGUUGGCUAAUCCUGGUCGGACAUCAGGAGGUUAGUGCAAUGGCAUAAGCCAGCUUGACUGCGAGCGUGACGGCGCGAGCAGGUGCGAAAGCAGGUCAUAGUGAUCCGGUGGUUCUGAAUGGAAGGGCCAUCGCUCAACGGAUAAAAGGUACUCCGGGGAUAACAGGCUGAUACCGCCCAAGAGUUCAUAUCGACGGCGGUGUUUGGCACCUCGAUGUCGGCUCAUCACAUCCUGGGGCUGAAGUAGGUCCCAAGGGUAUGGCUGUUCGCCAUUUAAAGUGGUACGCGAGCUGGGUUUAGAACGUCGUGAGACAGUUCGGUCCCUAUCUGCCGUGGGCGCUGGAGAACUGAGGGGGGCUGCUCCUAGUACGAGAGGACCGGAGUGGACGCAUCACUGGUGUUCGGGUUGUCAUGCCAAUGGCACUGCCCGGUAGCUAAAUGCGGAAGAGAUAAGUGCUGAAAGCAUCUAAGCACGAAACUUGCCCCGAGAUGAGUUCUCCCUGAGACUUAGAGUCUCCUGAAGGAACGUUGAAGACGACGACGUUGAUAGGCCGGGUGUGUAAGCGCAGCGAUGCGUUGAGCUAACCGGUACUAAUGAACCGUGAGGCUUAACCUUACAACG